CAAGCAGGGAUCUGCAGGGGUGUUUCUACAUCUGUCCAUCACCAUACCAACCUGUGAAAAACUCUUGAGAGAUAUUUACUGCUUCAUCUCUGCCUUCCAGGUUUCAUGUCAAGUAAAAAUUGAGUGGGCUUCCUAUCUAUUUCACUUCGAGAAACACCAGGAUUAACUAGCCAACACCAUAGGUCUGCAUGAGUCAGAUUAUUCUGAUUGCUGCAUUGAAUCUGCUGUCCGCAGACCCUGAGACAGGGAUUCCAGGCAAGGAGUUAAUGUGAGAAGUGAUCCCAGUGAAGUGGGU
rnacentral:lncRNA from 1 species